rnacentral:rRNA from 1 species
UACGGAGGGGGCUAGCGUUGUUCGGAAUUACUGGGCGUAAAGCGCACGUAGGCGGCUUUGCAAGUCAGAGGUGAAAGCCCGGGGCUCAACCCCGGAAUUGCCUUUGAGACUGCAUCGCUAGAAUUGUGGAGAGGUAAAUGGAAUUCCGAGUGUAGAGGUGAAAUUCGUAGAUAUUCGGAAGAACACCAGUGGCGAAGGCGACACACUGGCCCGUUACUGACGCUGAGGCGCGAAAGCGUGGGGAGCGAACCGG